rnacentral:rRNA from 1 species
CCUACGGGUGGCAGCAGUAGGGAAUUUUGCGCAAUGGGGGAAACCCUGACGCAGCAACGCCGCGUGAUCGAUGAAGCCCUUCGGGGUGUAAAGAUCUGUCAGUGGGGACGAAACCUGACGGUACCCACAGGGGAAGCACCGGCUAACUCCGUGCCAGCAGCCGCGGUAAUACGGGGGGUGCAAGCGUUGGUCGGAAUCAUUGGGCGUAAAGAGUUCGUAGGUGGCACGUGAAGUCCGGUGUUAAAGGCCGAGGCUAAACGUCGGUACGGCACUGGAUACUGGCGAGCUUGAAUGCGGUAGAGGUAAAGGGAAUUCCAGGUGUAGGGGUGAAAUGCGUAGAUAUCAGGAGGAACAUCGGUGGCGUAAGCGCUUUACUGGGCCGUAAUUGACACUGAGGAGCGAAAGCCGGGGUAGCAAAUGGGAUUAGAUACCCCUGUAGUC